rnacentral:rRNA from 1 species
UACGUAGGGUCCGAGCGUUGUCCGGAAUUACUGGGCGUAAAGAGCUCGUAGGUGGUUUGUCGCGUUGUCCGUGAAAACUCACAGCUCAACUGUGGGCGUGCGGGCGAUACGGGCAGACUGGAGUACUGCAGGGGAGACUGGAAUUCCUGGUGUAGCGGUGGAAUGCGCAGAUAUCAGGAGGAACACCGGUGGCGAAGGCGGGUCUCUGGGCAGUAACUGACGCUGAGGAGCGAAAGCGUGGGGAGCGAACAGG